rnacentral:rRNA from 1 species
AUGGUGUCUGCGCCAGUUUUACGAGUAAAGACCAUUUACAUCAAUUCGGUUGUUCUCGCUGCAAAUAGUCCAUUCUUUCUUAAGAUUUUCUCAAAUGGCAUGAAAGAGUCUGAUCAGAGGCAUAUAACACUCCGAAUUGCUGAUUCAGGAACGGAGGAAACUGUCAUGAUGGAGAUUUUGAGCUUUAUGUACACUGGAAAGUUGACAACAACUGAGCCCAAUCUUCUGCUCGACAUCUUGAUGGCCGCUGAUAAAUUUGAGGUUCUUGCUUGCAUGAGGCAUUGUAACCAGUUACUCACAAACUUGCCUAUGACCAGAGAGUCUGCGUUGCUCUACCUAGAUUACCCAUGCUCCACUUCAGUGGCUGCUGAAAUUCGGCAUCUGACAGAUGCUGCCAAGGAAUUCCUUGCCAGCAAAUACAAGACUGUUCCCAACCGGGAAAAGACACACUUGUUCCAUCUUGCUGGACAGGAUUUCUUUCUCAUAGCGUUUUGUCAAAUGCAUGAGCAGAGUAAGGCAUACAGCUUUGGCCUCUGUGUAGAAAAGAUUGAGAUGCCAAAGGGCCCAACAUGUUUGACAGUAGAUUUUGAGUUAGCUGCAAGGACAAGAUCGUCGGGGAAAUUCGUUACCAGGUUCCAGGACAAGCAUACAGGCGAUGAUUGGAUGCUGGGAUGCGCUGAUCUUUUUGAGGUUCCAUGGUCGACGUUCAUUACCAACGACAACCUCUUCAUCGAUGGCGUGCUGCAUCUGAGAGCUGACUUGAGGGUGGGGGUGGUGGCGCAGCCGGGACUAGAGACUUGA